GGCAGGCUGCCCAGAGGGCGGAAGGGUCCUCUGCAGAGCUCUGCACGCCUGUCGGCCGACGGGGACUCUGCACGGCGGGCUGCGUCACGGCCGCCUCAUCGGCUGGCAGCGCAGGAAACCCCGUCACCUUCUCGAGGGACGCUGUGCUGCUCAGCCCACCCCAGGCAGGGCAGGGAGGACAGACACUAGAGAGGCUCCCGGGAGCUCCCUGGCUGUAACUGAAAUAUCACGUGGGUGAACAAAGGGAGAAAUGUCGAUGGCAGCUGUGUUGACCCUUUACAACAUGCAGCGGAUUCUGCCAGAUCCCACCAACAAUCAUGCUUUCUACAGUAACCAAGUGCUGCAUCCAAUCAUGGCAAUGAAAAACAGUUCUCCUAACUUGUAAAUACUUUGAUUUGAAAAAAUGGAGUUUCAAAUCAUCCUUUUUAUUUCUAUGAAGAUUUUAAUCCACCUGCAGAAAAAAAAAAAGAAUGUUGAUGCUAUCUUGUCCAAAUACAAACAUGACUUUGCCCAUCUGUCUGCCUAUUUGGCAGACCGUGCAAAUGUAAAUUUUUGCAAAUUCCAUGCAGUCUAUGAACG
rnacentral:lncRNA from 1 species